UACGAAGGGGGCUAGCGUUAGUCGGAAUGACUGGGCGUAAAGGGCGCGUAGGCGGUUUUGACAGUCAGACGUGAAAUUCCUGGGCUCAACCUGGGGGCUGCGUUUGAUACGUCGGGACUGGAGUGCGGAAGAGGGUCGUGGAAUUCCCAGUGUAGAGGUGAAAUUCGUAGAUAUUGGGAAGAACACCGGUGGCGAAGGCGGCGACCUGGUCCGUGACUGACGCUGAGGCGCGAAAGCGUGGGGAGCAAAUAGG
rnacentral:rRNA from 1 species